rnacentral:rRNA from 1 species
UGAAUACGAGACGCUAAGGCGUCGAAGUAGUGUAUGUCAUACUUCCAAGAAAAGCUUGCACUGUCAUAGAUAAAAAACGCCUGUACCAUAACCGACACAGGUGGGUAGGUAGAGUAUACUAAGGGGCGCGAGAUAACUCUCUCUAAGGAACUCGGCAAAAUAACUCCGUAACUUCGGGAGAAGGAGUGCCUUAUUAUUAAGGUUGCAAUAACAAGAUCCAAGCAACUGUUUAUCAAAAACACAGGUCUCCGCUAAGUCGUAAGACGAUGUAUGGGGGCUGACGCCUGCCCAGUGCCAGAAGGUUAAAGAAGCUGGUUAGCAUUUGCGAAGCUAGUAACUGAAGCCCUGGUGAACGGCGGCCGUAACAAUAACGGUCCUAAGGUAGCGAAAUUCCUUGUCGGGUAAGUUCCGACCCGCACGAAAGGCGUAAUGAUUUGGAUACUGUCUCGGAGAGGGGCUCGGUGAAAUAGACUUGUCUGUGAAGAUGCGGACUACCUGCACCAGGACAGAAAGACCCUAUGAAGCUUUACUGUAACUUGAAAUUGAAAUUGGACUUUAUUCGCGCAGUAUAGGUGGGAGGCGUUGAUUAUAAUCUUGCGGGAUUAUUGGAGCCAUUAGUGAGAUACCACUCUUGUAAUGUUAGAUUUCUAACUUUGAAUCAUUAUCUGGUCAAAGAACAGUUUCAGGCGGGCAGUUUGACUGGGGCGGUCGCCUCCUAAACGGUAACGGAGGCGUACAAAGGUUUCCUCUGAACGGUUAGAAAUCGUAUCUAGAGUGUAAAGGCAUAAGGAAGCUUGACUGUGAGACCUACAAGUCGAGCAGGGACGAAAGUCGGUCUUAGUGAUCUGACGGUACUGAGUGGAAAGGCCGUCACUCAACGGAUAAAAGUUACUCUAGGAUAACAGGCUGAUCUCCCCCAAGAGUUCACAUCGACGGGGAGGUUUGGCACCUCGAUGUCGGCUCAUCGCAUCCUGGGGCGGUAGUACGUCCCAAGGGUUGGGCUGUUCGCCCAUGAAAGCGGUACGCGAGCUGGGUUCAGAACGUCGUGAGACAGUUCGGUCCAUAUCCGGUGUAGGCGUUAGAAUAUUGAGAGGAGCCUUCUUUAGUACGAGAGGACCGAGAAGGACAUACCUCUGGUGUACCAGUUAUCGUGCCAACGGUAGACGCUGGGUAGCUAUGUAUGGAGUGGAUAACCGCUGAAAGCAUCUAAGUGGGAAGCCCACCUCAAGAUAAGUAUUCCC